rnacentral:rRNA from 1 species
UACGGAGGAUCCAAGCGUUAUCCGGAAUCAUUGGGUUUAAAGGGUCCGUAGGCGGUUUUGUAAGUCAGUGGUGAAAGCCCAUCGCUCAACGGUGGAACGGCCAUUGAUACUGCAAGACUUGAAUUAUUAGGAAGUAACUAGAAUAUGUAGUGUAGCGGUGAAAUGCUUAGAGAUUACAUGGAAUACCAAUUGCGAAGGCAGGUUACUACUAAUGGAUUGACGCUGAUGGACGAAAGCGUGGGGGAGCGAACAGG